rnacentral:misc_RNA from 1 species
CAGAGUAAAAGUUUGAUGACCACUGAAUGUUUGGUCUGACAAAGCCAUCAAAUUGCACUGACUUGGAUAAAGAGAUUCAUCAAUUGUCUAACUAUAAGCAAGAUCCAUGAGCUUUCCAAUUUGAGUAACAUUUACAUGUGAAACCCUUCACAUUAUGAAACUAAUGCCAUCUUAGAACUGCUCCUCUAUAACAGUUGAGUGGUUUUCUCAUUUUUGG